UACGAAGGGGGCUAGCGUUGCUCGGAAUCACUGGGCGUAAAGGGUGCGUAGGCGGCUUGGUAGGUCUGGUGUGAAAGCCCCGGGCUCAGCCCGGGAAGGGCACUAGAAACUGCCAAGCUAGAGUGCCGGAGGGGAGAGUGGAAUUCCUGGUGUAGCGGUGAAAUGCGUAGAUAUCAGGAGGAAUACCGGUGGCGAAAGCGACUCUCUGGACGGCAACUGACGCUGAGGCACGAAAGCGUGGGGAGCAAACAGG
rnacentral:rRNA from 1 species